CCAGGCGUGUCCCCCAGCACAGAGCCUGUCCCCAAGGCAGGGUACAAGGUGCCAUGUCCCUACGCUCCCCUGCCUGUCCCCAUGUCCUGCUACAUGUCACCAAGCCUUGUCCUCCACGCUCCUGUGCAUGUCCCCAAGCCCUGGAGCAUGUCCCCAAGCCCUGGAGCACGUCCCCCUGCCCCUGGCGCGUGUCCCCAAGCCCCCCGGGCACUUCCCCGUGCCCCAGGGCCGUGUCCCCGCGCUCCGGUGUCCCCACAUCCCGCUGCGUGUCCCCAGGGGAACUGCAGCUGGGGCCAUGCGGAGCUGCUCCACCGGGGACACUCAACGGGGGACAUUUUAUGGGGGACACUCAACGGGGCGAUGCCCGUGGAGGGAGCUGCCCAACGGGGGGGUGCUCAGCAGAGGGGCACACCACGGGGGGCGACACCCCCAGAGGGGCCACGCACGGAGGGGACCCCCACCACAUGGCUGCCCCCGUGGCCGCCCACCCACCGGACCCCCCCCCCAGAAACCGCCCCAGACCCCCAUGAGCAGGGGGGUCCCGUGCACGGGGGGGGGGGGGUGACACCCCCAUGGGGGGAGUUGGGGGGGGUCACCACGGGCCAGGUUUCGGGCCGGGUUUCGGCACUGCCGGCCAGCGCGGCGGUGGUUGUGCAACCCCAGCGAUCCCUUUGUGUUUGCUCCCGAAAACACUCGACGCUCCUCGGCCGGGGGGGGUCCGGCACGGCUUGGACCCCCCCCUCCCUGAGCCCCCCCUUGCACGGAAAUUUCCAGCGCGGGCGUUGCACAACCGGGCCGGCCCCUCCACGUGAGCCGCCGGCAGCGCCCGGCGUGCAAACAACACCGGCACCUGCGGUGGCACGAGGCUGGCCCCGUGCCCCGGUGUCCGUCCCCGUGCCCCGGUGUCUGUCCCUGUGUCCUGGUGUCUGUCCCCAUGUCCCGGUGUCCGUCCCCGUGCCCUGGUGACUGUCCCCGUGCCCUGGUGUCCGUUCCCAUGUCCUGGUGUCCGUCCCCGUGUCCCAGUGUCUGUCCCCAUGCCCUGGUGUCCGUCCCCGCGUCCUGGUGUCUGUCCCUGUGUCCUGGUGUCC
rnacentral:lncRNA from 1 species